rnacentral:rRNA from 1 species
CCUACGGGUGGCUGCAGUGGGGAAUAUUGCGCAAUGGGCGAAAGCCUGACGCAGCGACGCCGCGUGAGGGAUGAAGGUCUUCGGAUCGUAAACCACUGUCAGCAGGGAAGAACGGGCACUGUGCUAAUCAGCAGUGAAUUGACGGUACCUGCAAAGGAAGCACCGGCUAACCCCGUGCCAGCAGCCGCGGUAAUACGGAGGGUGCGAGCGUUAAUCGGAAUUACUGGGCUUAAAGCGCUCGUAGGGGGUAUGUCAAGUCAAGGGUGAAAACCCCGCGCUCAACGUGGGAGCUGCCUUUGAAACUGGGAAACUGGAGUGUGUGGGAGGAUAGGGGAAUUCCAGGUGUAGGAGUGAAAUCCG